CUUUCAAUUUUUCUUUUGCUUUUAUAAACUGCUGGAAACAUCUCUGUAUUCUCAACUUUGUACACUUGUCUGAUCAAUUCCUAGAAGAGGAACUGAUGGAUCAAAGGACAUCCAUUGUUGAUACUGCAGUUAACGUGGCAGAAAAAUAUCUGUGAUUCUCUUGGCGACAGGUAGAAGCAAGUACUGCUGAAGCUAAUAUGAUUUGUUGCUGAUGUUUAUAAUGGAAGGAGAUGCUAAAUUUCAGUUGGAGAAGACCUGCUGCCACGCACUGCAAAUACAUCAGGAGAGAAGUGUGGAAUCCCGGACCAUGGGAUUAUCUUCCCAGAGGACUCUGAAAGCGGAGACCCCCUUGAACAGGUGUCCAGUGACCUGAUGGAAACUGAACAGUCCGUGCCGCUCUCUUGUAAGGGCAUGUGGUAAUUCUAGCCAACACGCUUUCCUAACAAUGUACCUUCAGCUUCUGUUAACACUUUCACAGGGCCCUUAAACUUUCAGAACCAUUACAUACAUUGAAGUCAAUACUUGCUUCCAAGUUUGACUAAGGUUCCUAGAAAGUAAGGCUUACAAAAACCUUAUCAUUUGUGAUCACUCUGAAAAUAGAGACAAAGUUAAGAUGAAUUUCUCUGCAAAGUUAAAUAGAUAACACAUGAUUAUUUAUCUUAAGCCAGCAUCCUAGCUCAUAUUAAUAUUCUGAUCUAAUUAGGUAAAGGCCAGGAGGGAGAACUGGAUAGGAGAAGGGAAGUGAAUUGUAUGUGGUUUAUAUAAAUUACUGAAAAUGUUACUCUAGUGUGAGGUUAUAAUUGGAAUGGUCUGUUACCGUGACACUCCUUAAUGAUUUUA